UACGAAGGGGCUAGCGUUGCUCGGAAUCACUGGGCGUAAAGGGCGCGUAGGCGGCCUGAUAAGUAGGGGGUGAAAUCCUGCGGCUUAACCGCAGGGCUGCCUUCUAAACUGUCAGGCUUGAGCACAGUAGAGGCAGGUGGAAUUCCCGGUGUAGCGGUGGAAUGCGUAGAGAUCGGGAAGAACAUCAGUGGCGAAGGCGGCCUGCUGGCUGUUGCUGACGCUGAGGCGCGAAAGCGUGGGGAGCAAACAGG
rnacentral:rRNA from 1 species